AGAACGAACGCUGGCGGCAUGCCUAAAACAUGCAAGUCGAACGGUGGCUUCGGCCACAGUGGCGCACGGGUGAGGAGCGCGUGGGAACCUGCCUCAGGGUACGGAAUAGCUUCGGGAAACUGGAAUUAAUACCGUAUGGUGCCAAUGUCUGUGGAGGAUAUUGGCUAAAGAUUUAUCGCCAUGAGAGGGGCCCGCGUCGGAUUAGCUAGUUGGUGGGGUAAUGGCCUACCAAGGCGACGAUCCGUAGCUGGUCUGAGAGGAUGAUCAGCCACACUGGGACUGAGACACGGCCCAGACUCCUACGGGAGGCAGCAGUUAGGAAUAUUGGACAAUGGGGGAAACCCUGAUCCAGCAAUGCCGCGUGUGUGAUGAAGGCCUUAGGGUUGUAAAGCACUUUCGCCGAUGACGAUAAUGACGGUAGUCGGAGAAGAACGCCCGGCUAACUCGCGCCAGCAGCCGCGGUAA
rnacentral:rRNA from 1 species